CCAAGAAGCUGCUGCUGCUGGACUUCAAACUAAUUUUAAGAACAAUUCCAAGAACGUUGAUUGUUUUGAAUGGAACUGACCCUGGACAAAUUUGCGAGGAACGUGCGUUUCAUGGACUGUUCCGACGAUCGAUAUCGCGAUGGUGGUCAGUCAGUGUUUUGAAAUAAUUAAUGGAAUAUAAUAGUUUAAUCCCUUAGUUAUUUGUCCUUCUUUCAAAAUAAACAUA